UACGGAGGAUGCGAGCGUUAUCCGGAUUUAUUGGGUUUAAAGGGUGCGUAGGCGGGAUGCCAAGUCAGCGGUAAAAAUGCGGUGCUCAACGCCGUCGAGCCGUUGAAACUGGCGUUCUUGAGUGGGCGAGAAGUAUGCGGAAUGCGUGGUGUAGCGGUGAAAUGCAUAGAUAUCACGCAGAACUCCGAUUGCGAAGGCAGCAUACCGGCGCCCUACUGACGCUGAGGCACGAAAGCGUGGGUAUCGAGCAGG
rnacentral:rRNA from 1 species